CAGCACAUAAAAAUAAUAUGUUAUCUCUCUUCAUCCACCUUCAUCUCCCUUCAUCUAAAAAUCCUAGCCACCGUUCCUCACCACCUCCACCACGAACACAACGAUCAACACUCAUCCUCAACAAAACACAAAUCCAACAUAUCUCUCACAAACCAAAAAAGAAAUCACUCAUCAUCUUGACAAUCUAUCAUUCAUAGAUUGUUUAUAGUUAUUUGUAAGGUCUUCGACCAACUUCAAGAUGUUGCAUAGAGUAUGUUUAUUUGUGGGGUUUGAUUCAUUAUAAUAUUUAAUUUAUUUAUGCUGGAUUUGGGGUUUUUAUUGUUUAAAUGCAAAAAUAAAUAUGACAGGGUUACUGAUUAGGUGGUGUUGAAUUCAAAUCCUAUGUUAGUUUAGAUGAGAUCAUGAUACUGGUGUUUUUCUCUUUCAAGCAGAAACAAGAAGAAUUGUGGGUCAUGCCAACUUCUAGAAAUUGCUCUGAUUGAUCUAGAAAAGUCAUUAAUGCAAAGUUGAUGAAGAUCAACUGUUAUAUAAAAUUGAUCUAGGUGCAAUGAGAAACACUUAUAAUUUAAGGACCAAAACAUUCAACAGGUAUUCCGAGUCCUAUCAUCCAAACACCAACAAUUUGCAACUGUUUGAUGCCAUGCUUUCAAAAUUUCUCUUGUUACUCGUGUAUUUUGAGUUUUUGUAAAUGAUACAUUGA